rnacentral:rRNA from 1 species
GUGCCAGCAGCCGCGCGGUAAUACGGGAGUGGCAAGCGUUAUCCGGAAUUAUUGGGCGUAAAGCGUCCGCAGGCGGCCCUUCAAGUCUGCUGUUAAGACGUGGAGCUUAACUCCAUCAUGGCAGUGGAAACUGUUGGGCUUGAGUGUGGUAGGGGCAGAGGGAAUUCCCGGUGUAGCGGUGAAAUGCGUAGAUAUCGGGAAGAACACCAGUGGCGAAGGCGCUCUGCUGGGCCAUAACUGACGCUCAUGGACGAAAGCCAGGGGAGCGAAAGGGAUUAGAUACCCCUGUAGUCCUGGCCGUAAACGAUGAACACUAGGUGUCGGGGGAAUCGACCCCCUCGGUGUCGUAGCCAACGCGUUAAGUGUUCCGCCUGGGGAGUACGCACGCAAGUGUGAAACUCAAAGGAAUUGACGGGGGCCCGCACAAGCGGUGGAGUAUGUGGUUUAAUUCGAUGCAACGCGAAGAACCUUACCAGGGUUUGACAUCCUGCGAAUCUCUUGGAAACGAGAGAGUGCCUUCGGGAGCGCAGUGACAGGUGGUGCAUGGCUGUCGUCAGCUCGUGUCGUGAGAUGUUGGGUUAAGUCCCGCAACGAGCGCAACCCACGUCUUUAGUUGCCAGCAUUUAGUUGGGCACUCUAGAGAGACCGCCGGUGAUAAACCGGAGGAAGGUGUGGAUGACGUCAAGUCAUCAUGCCCCUUACAUCCUGGGCUACACACGUACUACAAUGCUACGGACAAAGGGCAGCAAGUUCGCGAGGACAAGCAAAUCCCAUAAACCGUGGCUCAGUUCAGAUCGUAGGCUGCAACUCGCCUACGUGAAGGAGGAAUCGCUAGUAAUCGCAGGUCAGCAUACUGCGGUGAAUACGUUCCCGGGCCUUGCACACACCGCCCGUCAUCCAUAUGACU